rnacentral:rRNA from 1 species
CGUGCAGGCGGUCCUGUAAGUUGUGCGUGAAAGCGCCCGGCUCAACCGGGCGAGGACGUGCAAAACUGCAAGACUAGAGGGAGGUAGAGGCGCGUGGAAUUCCGGGUGUAGUGGUGAAAUGCGUAGAUAUCCGGAGGAACACCAGUGGCGAAGGCGGCGCGCUGGGCCUAACCUGACGCUAAGACGCGAAAGCAUGGGGAGCGAACG